UACGUAGGGUGCAAGCGUUAAUCGGAAUUACUGGGCGUAAAGCGUGCGCAGGCGGUUGUGCAAGACAGAUGUGAAAUCCCCGGGCUUAACCUGGGAACUGCAUUUGUGACUGCACAGCUGGAGUGCGGCAGAGGGGGAUGGAAUUCCGCGUGUAGCAGUGAAAUGCGUAGAUAUGCGGAGGAACACCGAUGGCGAAGGCAGCUCGCUGGGACGGUACUGACGCUGAGACGCGAAAGCGUGGGGAGCAAACAGG
rnacentral:rRNA from 1 species